GAUGAAGAACGUAGUGAAAUGCGAUAAGUAAUGCGAAUUGCAGAAUUUCCGUGAGUCAUCGAAUCUUUGAACGCACAUUGCGCCCACUGGUAUUCCGGGGGGCAUGCCUGUUCGAGCGUCAUUACAACCCUCAAGCUCUGCUUGGUAUUGGGCUCUGCUGGGACCGGCAGGCCUUAAAAUCAGUGGCGGCGCCACUCGGCUUCAAGCGUAGUAAUUCUUCUCGCUUCGGAGACCCGGGUGCGUGCUAGCCAGCAACCCCCAACUUUCUUAGGUUGACCUCGGAUCAGGUAGGGAUACCCGCUGAACUUAAGCAUAUCAAUAAGCGGAGGA
rnacentral:misc_RNA from 1 species